rnacentral:rRNA from 1 species
UAACGCGUGGGCAACCUGCCCCAUANAGGGGGACGAACAGCUGGAAACGGCUGCUAAUACCGCAUAACAAGGAGAGAGCGCAUGUUCUUUUCUUCAAAGAUUUAUCGCUAUGGGAUGGACCCGCGUCUGAUUAGCUGGUUGGUGAGGUAACGGCUCACCAAGGCGACGAUCAGUAGCCGGCUUGAGAGAGUGGACGGCCACAUUGGGACUGAGACACGGCCCAGACUCCUACGGGAGGCAGCAG